CCCUUAGAUGUUAUGGGCGGCCCGCGCACUACAAUGGCGUGUGCAGCGAGUGCCGAAGUAGAGUUUUCCGAGGUAUUCUUGCAAUGCUCGUUUUGAUGGGGAUAGACCCUUGCAACUGUUGGUUUUGAACGAGGAAUUCCUUGUAAGCAUGGUUUAUCAUCCGACGCUGAAUGCGUCCCUGCCCUUUGUACACACCGCCCGUCGCUCCUACCGAUGAGUCGUCCGGUGAAGUUCGUAGACCUCGUGAUCGCGGAUCACUGGGGGAAGCAAAAUGAACCUCGCGGUUUAGAGGAAGGAGAAGUCGUAACA
rnacentral:rRNA from 1 species